GCCGUCGUGGUGUAAUGGUCAGCACGCUCGACGCGUAACCGAGAGGUCCGUGGUUCGAUUCCCGGCGAAGGCG
rnacentral:tRNA from 1 species